CAGUCGCCGCGGGAACACGUAGGGUGCAAGCGUUAAUCGGAAUUACUGGGCGUAAAACGUGCGCAGGCGGUUAUAUAAGUCAGAUGUGAAAUCCCCGGGCUCAACCUGGGAACUGCAUUUGAGACUGUAUGGCUAGAGUGUGUCAGAGGGGGGUAGAAUUCCACGUGUAGCAGUGAAAUGCGUAGAUAUGCGGAGGAACACCGAUGGCGAAGGCAGCCCCCUGGGCCAACACUGACGCUCAUGCACGAAAGCGUGGGGAGCAAACAGGAUUAGAUACCCCUGUAGUCCCUGUCUCUUAUAC
rnacentral:rRNA from 1 species